rnacentral:rRNA from 1 species
AGGACGAACGCUGGCGGCGUGCUUAACACAUGCAAGUCGAACGAGGAUAUACCAGAGGAGAGCUUCGGCAGGAAUCGGGAAUAUUCGAGUGGCGGACGGGUGAGUAACGCGUGAGCAACCUGUCCCAGACAGGGGGAUAACACUUGGAAACAGGUGCUAAUACCGCAUAAGACCACGGUAUCACAUGGUAGUGGGGUAAAAGGAGCAAUCCGGUUUGGGGUGGGCUCGCGUCCGAUUAGAUAGUUGGUGAGGUAACGGCCCACCAAGUCGACGAUCGGUAGCCGACCUGAGAGGGUGAUCGGCCACAUUGGAACUGAGAGACGGUCCAAACUCCUACGGGAGGCAGCAGUGGGGAAUAUUGGGCAAUGGGCGAAAGCCUGACCCAAGCAACGCCGCGUGAGUGAAGAAGGCCUUCGGGUUGUAAAGCUCUGUUAUAGUUGACGAAGGAAGUGACGGUAGGCUAUAAGGAAGCCCCGGCUAACUACGUGCCAGCAGCUGC